CGUAUUUGGAGGAGAGGGUGGAGCUGGGGAGGAGAGAGAGGUGUGGAUCUGACCUGAGAACCGCAGUCACUAUGCACCGGCAUCCUGACGGACUGCACUGAUGGACUGUAAAUAAAACGUCCCGUCACUGUUGGCUGGCCGCUCGGAUUCUAGCUAGCUGCUAACUGACGGUUAGCCGUCACUUCGCGCCACCUGCUAGCUAGUUCGAGUCACUGAACGUUCAGCGUCUCGGCCGUUUCUGUGCUGUUGGUCCUUAAUGGAGGAUUUUUCAUGACGAUGUUGGAUAAGGAAUAUGGCGGUUGUGCGGUUAAUUGAUGAAGACGCGCUCUUGUCUUUCGCGAGUCAUCGGUGAAGGUGCUAAGAAGAGGAGGAGGAGGAGAAGGAGAAAGGAGAGAAGGGGAGGACAGAAGAGGUAGCUUCAGGAGAGCAUCGAAGAACAGGUUGGUGCUGCUCGGUGAGUUGGACGUCUUGUCAGCUGGGUCAUCGCCUGAUGAGGGGCUGGUGGGCGAAGUCUCCAGACCAUUUGCAUCUGGCUCUUCCUGUAGAUCUGGAGAUGUGGACCAAAUGGGAAGAGAAGAAAAGGACCUUAACAAGCCCUCAGUCUACUGCUACUCUGCUGCUGGCCACUUAGCAGCUCCUUUGACAAGUUUUCAGCAGUGCCUUGCUCAGAGGUACAUCGAUGGCAGAUUCUCA